GUUGUCGUGGCCUAGCGGUUAAGGCGAUGGACUACACAUUUUUUAGGAUCUUCCCGCGCGGGUUCGAAUCCUGCCGACAUACU
rnacentral:tRNA from 1 species